rnacentral:lncRNA from 1 species
GGUGUCCUGAGUGUCAGAGGCACAGACUCCCAGCACCAUGAAGCAGAGGCAGGCUCCAGGCCAGCCUUGGAUGUUCAGCUGGUGGAGGGGGGAGCCAGUCUUGGAUACACAGCAAACUUGGGGUGGGGGUGGGAGGUCGAAACAGAGAAAACACAAGUGCCUGGCUGCAGCUGUCACACGCAGAAGAAGAAAAGCCAUCACCAUGAACGCAGACCUUUGCCACCAAGCCAGAUUCAGGAACUGUCCACAUGAUUCUUACCUGAUAGACUAGUUAUGACAGCUGGGCCACAAAGGUAGCCCUAUCCAGGUCCCCCUGCUCCCUACCAGGGCCCUGCCUGGCCCUGCAUCUCCCUCAACGACUGUCACUAAGGCAUCCAAUAAGAAUGGGCGCAGAUGAGGCGGAGACCACAUUUUAAUAGUCUGGGGAGGUGGCAUCCUCACAGGGCGGUGUAAAAAAGAGCAAAAAUGAUUUUGGAUAAACCCUGAAGAAAUUUUACUGCCCAGCACAGCGUAAAUCAAGCCCUGUGCAAAUGCAAUAAAACAACUGUUUAGUCUGCGUGGCUCAUACCGCAGACCUCGGGA